GUUGUAUGGUUAAGUGACUAAGCGUACACGGUGGAUGCUUGGCAGUCAGAGGCGAUGAAGGACGUAUUAACUUGCGAUAAGCCCAGAUUAGGCAGUAAAAGCCACUUGAGUCUG
rnacentral:rRNA from 1 species